rnacentral:lncRNA from 1 species
UAAAGCAUACAUCUAUUAUAUUUACUUAUUGGAAUGUGUAGUAACUUUGCGACAUCUAUGAAGUAUUUAUAUGCUUGAGGAUAUCUAUUUUCCAGUAGGUAUGCAUCUCGUUUAUCAGUAAAUGACCAGUAAAAGCAUAUAACAUCAGUUGCGUAGUGGAAGAGGGCUUCUCUCCGAAUUCUGGGGUUAGGUUUCGGGUUAGGAUUUCCGAGCUUUCUAGGUUUUUUUGCCGGAAAUGGGUGACGGCGGCCGCGGCGUGUCUGCCCUGUGCGACCACUGCGGCGAGGCGGCGGCCGUGCUCUACUGCUGCGCUGACACGGCGAAGCUCUGCCUCCCCUGCGAUGGCCUUGUCCACGCUGCCAACGCCCUCUCCCGCCGGCACGGCCGCUCCCCGCUCUGCGACAACUGCGCCGCUGCCGCUGCCGCCGCCCUCUGCGCCGUCGACGGCCUCGCCCUCUGUCCAGAAUGCGACUGGAACGCCCACUCCGCCCACCCUCGGACCCCCAUCGAGGCCUUCUCCGACUGCCCCUCCGCCCUCGAGCUCGCCGCCGCCUGGGGCUUCGAUCUCUCCGCAGGAAAAAUCCCACCUUUUACCCCUCGGGACCAGGAGCUUUCCCCUUGUAGUAGCAUUUCGGCGGCUCUUGAUUCGAUUCCGGCCGUCGAUCCGGUGCUCGGGAAUCUCCACGUCCCCUGUGCCAAGCGCCAGAAGAGCGGAAGGGGGUGGCAGGAACUACUGAGGCAGCUGGUGGAAUUGGCUGGAAGGGAGCCGGUCGCUGCUCCGGUGCCGGGCGAGCUCAGCCCGAGAACGCCAAGCAAUAACAAUGGCGGCCAGUACGAGAAAGAGAACCGCGUGGUGGAGCAUAUAGGAUUCACCUCGUUGCUUAAUUUGGACUUAUCAGCAUGCGCUGGUCUCAAAGGAAAUGAUAGGCUUCUGGAGGAUGAGGACUUGGUAUGGGAUUGUGGUCCUUCUGAACAUGUUACUCUAAUUUUAAUCUGCUAUUGUUUUCACCAUCAUUCUUAUUCCAUCUUUUCAUCAUAUUUCCCUGAAAUAUUUUUUUUAGUCAUGAAUUUUAUGAAGCAUCGGUGUCACUUCUAAACUUCAAGUUGAAACUUUUUCUUUUUCUUUUUCUAAAAAAAGCUUACCUGGUUCUACCAUUUUAUAGUGGAGCAUUCUUGCAGAAUAGAGAAAUUUAUAAGUUAGUUGCGCCUUUUAUUCAUGUAAUAAUAAUGGAUAUUGUUAGUGCUUGAAUUUUCUGUUUGUGCAAUUGGGUAGCUGUUCAUGAUAGUUUCAGGUUUGACACUUGAUUAUCUUCAAAAGUAACAACAUUCGAUCUUAAAACUAAGUAAAAAAGCAGAAGAGAAGAGUCCAUGACAAACUUUUUGGUAUUGUUGACAAAUUGGAUUAGAAGCAACUGGAUGAGCAGGUUUAGUUUGUUAAUCACAGAUAUCCAGCAUCAGAAGUCAUAUGGUCAAAUAUGCAUAGUGGAAACUAGAAAGUUCAGAAAUAUAGAGAUGACACACUGGGUAAUAACAGAGUUAUUCAAAACUUUCAAAUCCAAAAUGUCAAGAUCAAUUCAUUUGAAUUUGAUCACGGUUGAGGCUGCUGUAAAUCAUAAAUGAGAACCAGACUAACUUAAUGAAAUCAUAAAAUGAAGGUGAGUGUGUCUUUGCUGUAAUUAUAUAAGGUGUGGUCAUCUGAUCCCAGCUACUCCACAUUCUGUUGUGUUGCAUUGGGGAAGUUUGGAUGGCUGCAAUAUGUCUUUUAUAUGUCCCUAUGUUCACGUCACAAUUUGUUGCAAACUUCUUCUUUUUUUUUUGUACUCUGCGAAGUGUCACAUGAUUAUACCGAGAAAACAUCGGGGCAGAAAAUACUUUUUCAUGCAAGCAAUUAAAGGAUUGCUUUAAAUUAUUUGUUUUAUGGAUAAUUUAUCCGGGCAAUGAUUUUAUAGAUGCGGAUGAAAAAAGAAAAACAAAAGCACACAGAUCACUUUAUUUAGAAGCAAAACUCAGAUCACUCUCACUUGUGCUCCUCUCUCCUCUUCAGCUGAACAUGGCAGCAAGGACUGGUAAAUGGCAGAAUAAUGCGACCGAUUCAGCAAAACCCUCCGGAACUAAGACCUUGACUGGUUAUUUACAUGAUCCUGGACCUGUUGACAAAAGCAAGGAAAUUUCCUUUGGAGAACAAUCCUACUACAUCAGCAAUGGAACAGCAGAAGAAACUAAGAAAGCUGACAGUCAAUUAUUGGCUCACAACAGGGGACAAGGCUAUGUUGCGGUACAAAGAGAAGAGGACGAAUCGCAGGCAUGACAGCGUAGUGGAAGAGGGCUUCUCUCCGAAUUCUGGGGUUAGGUUUCGGGUUAGGAUUUCCGAGCUUUCUAGGUUUUUUUGCCGGAAAUGGGUGACGGCGGCCGCGGCGUGUCUGCCCUGUGCGACCACUGCGGCGAGGCGGCGGCCGUGCUCUACUGCUGCGCUGACACGGCGAAGCUCUGCCUCCCCUGCGAUGGCCUUGUCCACGCUGCCAACGCCCUCUCCCGCCGGCACGGCCGCUCCCCGCUCUGCGACAACUGCGCCGCUGCCGCUGCCGCCGCCCUCUGCGCCGUCGACGGCCUCGCCCUCUGUCCAGAAUGCGACUGGAACGCCCACUCCGCCCACCCUCGGACCCCCAUCGAGGCCUUCUCCGACUGCCCCUCCGCCCUCGAGCUCGCCGCCGCCUGGGGCUUCGAUCUCUCCGCAGGAAAAAUCCCACCUUUUACCCCUCGGGACCAGGAGCUUUCCCCUUGUAGUAGCAUUUCGGCGGCUCUUGAUUCGAUUCCGGCCGUCGAUCCGGUGCUCGGGAAUCUCCACGUCCCCUGUGCCAAGCGCCAGAAGAGCGGAAGGGGGUGGCAGGAACUACUGAGGCAGCUGGUGGAAUUGGCUGGAAGGGAGCCGGUCGCUGCUCCGGUGCCGGGCGAGCUCAGCCCGAGAACGCCAAGCAAUAACAAUGGCGGCCAGUACGAGAAAGAGAACCGCGUGGUGGAGCAUAUAGGAUUCACCUCGUUGCUUAAUUUGGACUUAUCAGCAUGCGCUGGUCUCAAAGGAAAUGAUAGGCUUCUGGAGGAUGAGGACUUGGUAUGGGAUUGUGGUCCUUCUGAACAUGUUAC